AUUGAACGCUGGCGGCAGGCCUAACACAUGCAAGUCGAGCGGAGCGGCGGACGGGUGUGAAAUGCCUAGGAAUUUGCCUGCUCGUGGGGGUUAACGUCCGGAAACGGGCGCUAAUACCGCGUACUAUCAGAUGAGCCUAGGUCGGAUUGGCUAGUUGGUGGGGGAAAGGCCUACCAGGGCGACGAACCGUAACUGGUCGGAGAGGAUGAUCAGUCACACUAGAACUGAGACACGGUCCAGACUCCUACGGGAGGCAGCAGUGGGGAAGAGUGGGCAAUAGUCGAAAGCCUGGUCCAGCGAGGCCGCGUGUGUGAAGACGGUCUUCGGAGUGUAAAGCACUUUAAGUGGGGGGGCGUUACCAACAGAAUAAGCACCGGCUAACUUCGUGCCAGCAGCCGCGGUAAUAC
rnacentral:rRNA from 1 species